UACAAUUGAGACAGGUGGUGCAUGGUUGUCGUCAGCUCGUGUCGUGAGAUGUUGGGUUAAGUCCCGCAACGAGCGCAACCUUGUGUUUAGUUGCAAACAGGUCAAGCUGUGCACUCUAGACAGACUGCCGUGGACAACACGGAGGAAGGUGGGGGAUGACGUCAAAUCAUCAUGCCCCUUAUGAUCUGGGCUACACACGUGCUACAAUGGCCGGUACAACGGGCAGCGAAGGAGCGAUCCGGAGCGAAUCCUAAAAAGCCGGUCCCAGUUCGGAUUGCAGGCUGAAACUCGCCUACAUGAAGUUGGAGUUGCUAGUAAUCGCGAAUCAGAAUGUCGCGGUGAAUGCGUUCCCGGGUCUU
rnacentral:rRNA from 1 species